UGGGGAAUAUUGCACAAUGGGCGCAAGCCUGAUGCAGCCAUGCCGCGUGUAUGAAGAAGGCCUUCGGGUUGUAAAGUACUUUCAGUCGGGAGGAAGGUGUCAAGGUUAAUAACCUUGGCAAUUGACGUUACCGACAGAAGAAGCACCGGCUAACUCCGUGCCAGCAGCCGCGGUAAUACGGAGGGUGCAAGCGUUAAUCGGAAUUACUGGGCGUAAAGCGCACGCAGGCGGUUGAUUGAGUCAGAUGUGAAAUCCCCGGGCUUAACCCGGGAAUUGCAUCUGAUACUGGUCAGCUAGAGUCUUGUAGAGGGGGGUAGAAUUCCAUGUGUAGCGGUGAAAUGCGUAGAGAUGUGGAGGAAUGCCGGUGGCGAAGGCGGCCCCCUGGACAAAGACUGACGCUCAGGUGCGAAAGCGUGGGGAGCAAACAGG
rnacentral:rRNA from 1 species